GACGAACGCUGGCGGCGUGCCUAAUACAUGCCAGUAGGACGCAGUUGCGAACGGGUGAGUAACGCGUAUGUAACUGCCUAUUAGAGGGGGAUAACUAUUGGAAACGAUAGCUAAUACCGCAUACUAGUAGAUGGACCUGCGUUGUAUUAGCUAGUAGGUAGGGUAAUGGCCUACCUAGGCGACGAUACAUAGCCCAGCUGAGAGGGUGAGCGGCCAAACUGGGACGGAGACACGGCCCAGACUCGUACGGGAGGCAGCAGGAGGGAAUCUUCGGAAAUGGGGGGAACCCUGACCAGGCAACGGCGCGUGAGUGAAGAAGGGGUUCGGAGCGUAAAGCUCUGUUGUUAAGGAAGCGGUACUUAACCAGAAAGGGACGGAGAACGACGUGCCAGCAGCCGCGGUAAUUC
rnacentral:rRNA from 1 species